rnacentral:rRNA from 1 species
UGAAUACGAGACGCUACGGCGUUGAAGCAGUCUAUGUCAUACUUCCAAGAAAAGCUCGCAAUGUCAUAAACAAAUAAUGCCUGUACCAUAACCGACACAGGUGGGUAGGUAGAGUAUACUAAGGGGCGCGAGAUAACUCUCUCUAAGGAACUCGGCAAAAUGACUCCGUAACUUCGGGAGAAGGAGUGCCUUAUUUAUAAGGUUGCAAUAACAAGAUCCAAGCAACUGUUUAUCAAAAACACAGGUCUCCGCUAAGUCGUAAGACGAUGUAUGGGGGCUGACGCCUGCCCAGUGCCAGAAGGUUAAAGAAGUUGGUUAGCAUUCGCGAAGCUGAUAACUGAAGCCCUGGUGAACGGCGGCCGUAACUAUAACGGUCCUAAGGUAGCGAAAUUCCUUGUCGGGUAAGUUCCGACCCGCACGAAAGGCGUAAUGAUUUGGAUACUGUCUCGGAGAGGGGCUCGGUGAAAUAGACUUGUCUGUGAAGAUGCGGACUACCUGCACCUGGACAGAAAGACCCUAUGAAGCUUUACUGUAACUUGAAAUUGAAAUUGGACUUUAUUUGCGCAGUAUAGGUGGGAGGCGUUGAGAGUAUUCUUGCGGGAAUAUUGGAGCCAUCAGUGAGAUACCACUCUUGUAAUGUUAGAUUUCUAACUUUGUAUCAUUAUCUGGUCAAAGAACAGUUUCAGGCGGGCAGUUUUGACUGGGGCGGUCGCCUCCCAAACGGUAACGGAGGCGUACAAAGGUUUCCUCUGAACGGGUAGAAAUCGUAUCUAGAGUGUAAAGGCAUAAGGAAGCUUGACUGUGAGACCUACAAGUCGAGCAGGGACGAAAGUCGGUCUUAGUGAUCUGACGGUGCUGAGUGGAAAGGCCGUCACUCAACGGAUAAAAGUUACUCUAGGAUAACAGGCCGAUCUCCCCCAAAAGUUCACAUCGACGGGGAGGUUUGGCACCUCGAUGUCGGCUCAUCGCAUCCUGGGGCGGUAGUACGUCCCAAGGGUUGGGCUGUUCGCCCAUGAAAGCGGUACGCGAGCUGGGUUCAGAACGUCGUGAGACAGUUCGGUCCAUAUCCGGUGUAGGCGUUAGAGUAUUGAGAGGAGCCUUCUUUAGUACGAGAGGACCGAGAAGGACAUACCUCUGGUGUACCAGUUAUCGUGCCAACGGUAAACGCUGGGUAGCUAUGUAUGGAGAGGAUAACCGCUGAAAGCAUCUAAGUGGGAAGCCCACCUCAAGAUAAG